rnacentral:rRNA from 1 species
UCAGAAACUACAAAUGAAGUUCGACGGGGCCCGGCACAAGCGGAGGAGCAUGUGGUUUAAUUCGAUGAUACGCGAGGAACUUACCUGGGCUCGAACGUAAGAUGACUGUAGGUGAAAGCUUACAUCUCUUCGGAGCAUUUUACGAGGUGCUGCAUGGUUGUCGUCAGCUCGUGCCGUGAGGUGUCGGGUUAAGUCCCAUAACGAGCGCAACCCCACCUUUAGUUGCCAUCAGGUAAUGCUGGGGACUCUAAAGGAACUGCCUACGCAAGUAGUGAGGAAGGCGGGGAUGACGUCAAAUCAGCACGGCCCUUACGUCCAGGGCUACACACGUGCUACAAUGGCCGAUACAGAGGGCAGCUACCUGGUGACAGGAUGCAAAUCUCCAAAGUCGGUCUCAGUUCGGAUCGGAGUCUGCAACCCGACUCCGUGAAGUUGGAUUCGCUAGUAAUCGCGCAUCAGCCAUGGCGCGGUGAAUACGUUCCCGGGCCUC